rnacentral:tRNA from 1 species
GGAGGGGUGGCAGAGUGGUUGAAUGCGGCGGUCUCGAAAACCGUUUAGGAGGUAUCCCCUCCUACGAGGGUUCGAAUCCCUCCCCCUCCGCCA